AUUGCAUUGCCAGAAAGUGCCAGAUGGAUCAGUGUAGAAUAAGCUCGGCCCCUUCUCAUCAUGGCCAGCAAUGAGAAGAGCUACACCAAAUGGUCGAGACAUGGACUCCUCGUCGCCUUCGCCGAAUCUUAGGGCUAAAUCACAAAGAGCUUGUGUUGUAGACUCCACAGUCAUCGGUUCGCCAUAUGAGAAUCGAUGGUUCUGUGUCUCAACUCGAGCAUGUUCAACAAGUGUGUGAGCAUCAGCAAUUAAUCCACUCAUUGCACAUCCUAUAUGCUCAUCAAUUUCCAUGAUUUUUUCCACACUACUUGGUUCCAGUAGUGGAGAUGUAAUACGUUUCUCAACCGCAAGCACAACGCCAUCCUUUGUUUUCAAACCAAUAGCCGUCGAACCAAGCUUAAUAGCCUCAAUCGCGUACUCAACCUGAAACAAUCGACCUUCAGGAGAGAAGGUGUUCACACCCCUAUCAUACUCGGUCCUGGUGAGAAACAUUUUGCGAUUCAAUUGAAGUAAACGGCUAGAUUCUG
rnacentral:misc_RNA from 1 species